rnacentral:rRNA from 1 species
AAAUGCGAACAAAUCACCCAGAUUGCCACCAAUUUUGUCAGACAUCAGAAGCUAAGCCGGCUGGAGCCUGCUUAGCACUUGGAUGGGGGACUGCUUGGGCAUAACCAGGUGUUGUAGGCU